rnacentral:tRNA from 3 species
UGACGAGAUAGCCAAGCCCGGUAUGGCGCAGGGUUGCUAACCCUGUGUUCCGCAAGGAGCUCGGGGGUUCAAGUCCCCCUCUCGUCGUCC